CCCCGCUCCUCCCCGCCAGCCCGCAUCCACCCGCCAGCACAACAAAAAUGUGCCGUUUCACUGUCCCUAUAAUGCACAGAGGAAAUAGGAUUAGGUCCAAAUAGCGGCAAGGCGGAAAUGGAAAGCUUGGAGGGGAGUGACACACCACUGGCAAUGCCAUGCAAGCUUGGCCGGGGAGCAGCAUUACAUUUCAAGGGUAGUUGAGUUAUUUCCUGGCUCUGUUUAGAAAAGUGGCUCAGACUUUUACACUCCUGCUGAAAUGAGAGAGCUGUGAGCCUGUCCUGCUGCAGAGCCCUGGCUCAGGGCUGCUUCUCUCCCCUGCCCUCACCAUGGCCCUGCUGCAGACCCUCUGUGCCCUGCUGGACACGUGCCCUGGGAAGUGGCUGCCCAGGAUUGGUUUGUGCAGACACCAGCUCUGCCUCUGCUGGAUGGAGACCUGGCUGCACAGCGCUCUUUGAGGUGUUAAGGGAAGGAGGUUCUUCUCCAAGACAAGAGACUGAGAAUUUGAACAAUGGCAGAAGAGCAAGAAGAUCAAAUGGAAGGAAUGUGGAAGAAUCAUGAUCACUAUGAGCUACUUCUGUGAGGAGACGGUGAGCAGGAAAUGGUGAGCAGAAAAGGCAAACCCAGUCAGACUCUGUUAGUGCACAGCUAUUGCAGCACAAUCUGUUUUCCAGGUGUGUGCUAAAAUCCCAGCAUCCUACUGUCAGAGAGAUUUGUGGUAUUCUGGUUUGGUUCUCCUCACCAAAGCUGAAUGGGACCCAAGAAUGUCCCAGAGUUUCAUCCAGCCCAGCUUCCAGUGCCAAAUCAUGAAGGGUCUGUGGUGUGGGCUCAUUUUGCAGAGCUCCUUGCUGUGCUGGACCAGGGGCCUUGCACAGAGGGCUCUGCUGUGUGUUGGCCAUGUCCGUUUUUCUGUAGAGAGAGAAACUGGCCAUGUCUCCAGCUCUCUGUAUCCAGCAAAGAAUUGCAAAGCACAAGCAGCAGCAGGCCUGGUGUUCUCCUCUCCUGCCCCACAGUCACUGCCAGGAAAGCCUGACAGCCUCAGGCAGAAAGCUGGUUAAUCAAAUAGUAACCACCCAGCAGCACCAAGACUGGCUGGUGACUCCAGAAUAAACUUAUUUUGAUCCUGCAUCUUGCACAGCUUCUGAGCUUCCACCCAGCUCCUGAGGAGGCUGCUGCUCCCCCUGCCUUUGUGGUGCACAUUGCUGUCUGGCCAAGGAGCAGAAGAUGAAGAGUUUGUCUGUUAUUUGCAGGUCAGGGCCCCCUCUAAGAGUUGUGGCACUGGGACAGGAGAGCAGAGAGGAAUUCACAAUGACUGGGCUGAUUUCAGACUGGGAAUAGAUUCGCUUUUCAUUCUCUCAGACAAGCAAUUAGAGCUGUCUCCCCAAGCAGUUCCCACCCAGCAAGGAGUUCCAAAAUAUGAAAAUUCUUCCCUUUCAUAUUAUUUUCCAGAUGUUCAGUCUUCACUUCCCUUUAUUAAUGCUUCUUUUGCCAGGGUGAUUCAUUUAACAAUUAGCUAAGGCAUAGGGUGGAGCAGCUGUUACAGAUAUUACCUGUGCCUCUGAGGCAAAGCUUCUUACUGUUGUUUUUUAUCCAUCUCUCCUUUCCUUCUAGGCCUUUAAUAACCUGUAAGAAUUAUCUUUAAAUUAGUGGGAAGCUCUGAUUCCUCAACCAGGUCAACAGAUGGCUCACUUGGACUUGCCUUCAAUUAAGCAGGUAGAACAUGCCCAAGGAGCAGGCAGACAAAUGCAGCUGCUCCUUCCCCAAAUCCCACUGCAGAUCUGAUGGGAAUUAUUCACCAGUUCCUGUGUGAGGGUACUUGUUCCAUUGACCUCAGAACUUUGCAUUCAAACUUCCAUCACCUGGCUGCACCUUCCAGGAGAGUGAUCCUUCCCAUGACAAUGAGUUGUGGGUGUGAUGAUGCUGAGGUACCUGAGCAUUGCUGGCUUCAUGGUCUCCUUGCAAUGUUUGAUUGUUGGGAAAAAUGCCCAAACCCUAGUUUUUCUCAUCAUAAGCACUGAUGGAUGUCUUUUAUUCCCAUAUAAGUGGAGAUUGAAAGUGGGGUUCAAACCUUGAGCCUCCGGCUGUUUUGUUUGGGAUGAGAGGAAGCAGCCUCAAGUGAAGCCAGAGGAAGUUUAGAUUGGAUAUUAGGAAAAAAUUCUUUUCCUUAAGGGCUGUCAAGGAGUGGAACAGGCUGCCCAGGGCAAUGAUGGAGUCACCAUCCCUGGAGGUCUCUAUGAGAUGUGUAGAUGAGGCACUUAGGGGCAGGAUUCAAGUGAUGGACUUGGCAGUGCUGGGUUACCAGCAGGACUCUAUGACCUUAAAUGUAAUACCAGUGAAAGUGAUCCUGUGAUUCUGAGAUGUCUCACAUCCUCUCUGUGGUCUUCAGCUGCCACUUUUGGAGGCUGUGUGUCUCCUGUGCCAAAUCCACCAGUCUAUAGGGGUGCCUUUGAAUACCCUGGGGUGUCUCCAAUUAUGGGAAUGUUUAUCCUUUGCAGCUGAGUUUCACCAAGAGAAUCACGAAUCCCCAGGUUGUACCUUCAAUCUGUGUCAAGUACAGACUCAUUUGUGCUGUGGUACGACUCCCAUCCCACCAGCACCACAAGUUGUGGGAGUACAGGUGGAAUAAAAGCUAAACAGUGGCAGCAGGAUCUGCCCUGGUGAUACCAGGUGUUUGCUUUGCAUGAAAAGACCAAACAAUUGCUAAAAUUCUGAGUAAAAUUCUGAGUAAACUGAUCAUGAUUGGUUAUGCUGUUAGACACCAUUACUAUCUUCUCCCAUUCAGCUGAUAACUCAGGUGCUUACGACUGAAUGUGGCUCUUUUGCUGAUGUUUUUAUUCACUCUUACUCAACUGUUCCAGCAAGGUGCUUGGAAGGUGACCUGUGGGAGGUUUGGUAGGAGGAUUAUUCAUGUCUGACCUCCAGCCCUCAGCAGUGACAGUCUCUGCAGCCCUGCUAUGGCUGGGAGCAGAGCUCCAGCCCUGGAGCUGCUCGUGAUGCUCAGCACAUCUCCAGCCCCACUGGCUGCACCUGUGCUGCAGCUCAGCUCAGCUGUGUUUGAAUCCUUUCUGGGGUGAGGAUGUCACUGACUGCACUGUCUGUGUGCUGCAGCCAAGCAAGGAGAAAUGUUGCAAAGAAUUUCCCUGCUGCAGAGCUCUGCACAGAAAUAAAUCAGCUCUGCUUGUCUGGACAAGGUCUCUGCUGCCCAAAGAGCCCCUGGAGUUUUGAUUUUUGCCCUGUUUAUGUUGCUAGAGCUGGGUAUGUCAGCAGGGUAUGUAUUCCUGGGGAUUUUUCUUUAGCCCAAGCUCUGCAUCUCCAGAGAUUUCUGGACUAUGCUGUCUGAUCCUUGCAGGGCAAAAUUUGGAGUGGUUUGAUCGAUGCUGGCAGGGAUGUGUUGCACCUUCUUCUUUCAUCAGUUCAUGUCACCUCUUCCAGCAGCCCAGGAGCAGCAGAUUUCCUGGAGAAAUCAGAUGCAGCAGCAGCUCAUCCCUGCAGCACAGCCCCACACAGUGCCCAGGCUCUGUGCUACAAGGUCCUGGUGCAAGAGCUCAGCAGCUCAGACCCCUCCAGCCUGGGCCAUCAGCUGCACACCAGGGCUGGGUUUUUUUUUUUGUAACACAGGUAUUAAAACCUGAGUGAUGGCUUCUAGGAUGCAGAGCUAUCCCAUCUCCAGGUGCUGCUGCUCAAAACCCCUGCAGCCUCCAGUGCCACAUGGCAGUGACACAGCUGGCACUGCAAAGCUGCUCUUCUGAGCCAGGGGGCACAUUCCUAUAUCGCAGACGUUCUCUUCCAGCAGCACCACCCCUAUCUUGGCAAUCCUGCCCCAGACCCCAGAGAGUGGCAGAGCCAGUUUGCUGAGCCCAGAGCAAGCC